ACGAACGCUGGCGGCGUGCUUAACACAUGCAAGUCGAACGGUGAAGCGCCUUCCUUUUUGGUGGGUGUGGAUGAGUGGCGAACGGGUGAGUAACACGUGAGUAACCUGCCCCCUUCUUCUGGAUAACCGCAUGAAAAUGUGGCUAAUACGGGAUAUUCUGGGUCUGUCGCAUGAUGGGUCUGGGAAAGAUAUUGUUUCGGUGGGGGAUGGGCUCGCGGCCUAUCAGCUUGUUGGUGGGGUGAUGGCCUACCAAGGCGGUGACGGGUAGCCGGCCUGAGAGGGUGGACGGUCACACUGGGACUGAGACACGGCCCAGACUCCUACGGGAGGCAGCAGUGGGGAAUAUUGCACAAUGGGCGCAAGCCUGAUGCAGCGACGCCGCGUGAGGGAUGGAGGCCUUCGGGUUGUGAACCUCUUUCGCCAGUGAAGCAGGCCUGCCUCGUUUGUGGGUGGGUUGACGGUAGCUGGAGAAGAAGCGCCGGCUAACUACGUG
rnacentral:rRNA from 1 species